UGGGGAAUAUUGCACAAUGGGGGAAACCCUGAUGCAGCGACGCCGCGUGAACGAAGAAGGUAUUCGUAUCGUAAAGUUCUGUCCUAUGGGAAGAUAAUGACAGUACCAUAGAAGAAAGCUCCGGCUAAAUACGUGCCAGCAGCCGCGGUAAUACGUAUGGAGCGAGCGUUGUCCGGAAUUAUUGGGCGUAAAGGGUACGCAGGCGGUUUAAUAAGUCGAAUGUUAAAGAUCGGGGCUCAACCCCGUAAAGCAUUGGAAACUGAUAAACUUGAGUAGUGGAGAGGAAAGUGGAAUUCCUAGUGUAGUGGUGAAAUACGUAGAUAUUAGGAGGAACACCGGUGGCGAAAGCGGCUCUCUGGUCUGUAACUGACGCUGAGGCUCGAAAGCGUGGGGAGCGAACAGG
rnacentral:rRNA from 1 species